UGCUUUUAAACAAAGGAAAAGAUGAAACAGACGCGCUGGAACUUCUGAAACAGCUGUUGCCAUGGAAGAUGCUUCUUUUGAAUUUUACAUGAGGACAUUUACUCCCUCCUCGACACUGCAAAGUACAGAAGUGACUGAGGUAGCUGUAAAACUCCUAACUCCCCUUCCCCAGUUGAAUGCACGGCAUGGCUGUUUGGCAUCUAUUAGAAAGUAACGCCUCUGUAGCAAAGCAAGGAAAAGCCCGUGAACUAUAAAUGCUCACUGCAAACAUGUUUGAUGAUUAGCACAAUCUCGCAAGCAAGCCGUAAAGAAUAGAAACUGCACUUAGGGAGUUAAUGCAGCAAUCCCGCUGUUGCCCUAGGCAGUUUUUCCAGGUGCAACGUCUGCGCCUCUCAAACAAAACCUACAGUUUCGGAAUAGAGUGAGCCGUGCGCAUGGUUCAGUGGUAAACCCAGAGAAGUGGGGCUCAUCCAAGAGAAACAAGAUGAAAAAUUCAGCCAGAGACAGAAAUCUGGACGUGCACCAAACAACUUUUCAUCAGCGUGUCUGUCCGGGAGGAAACAUUUUCCAGUGGCCUCCUUCCUUUUUUCUUUCGAAAUGAGCUCAACUGCAGUGUUCCCAGGCGCUGCCACCAGCGGACUGCUUGAGGCACAGAGAAACAUGGAUAAGUGAUGCUGUUUGUUUAAGCUUCAGCUGUGAAUGCCCUGAAGGCAGCUGGGGCAGGCGUGUUGCCAGCAGAGGACGCAUCCCUGAGUCCAAAGACACCUGUCCACCAGAAAUGUACAAACUCGGCUUCCAUGCUGGCCUUGGUCUCAACCUGAUGCUCUUUGGCUUAAGCGGAUAAACUGCCCCUAUCAGGUGGGAACAGUUAGAAGUCAGAGACAAUGAAAACACACAGGGCUCAAGUGUUGUGUACCAAGCAGUGUUUACAGGAACAGGAAAGCUGGGUCCCUCGAUUUGUCAUCAGCACACUGGAUGAGCGUGCCUUCUGCAUAUUCAUCCAAGUGAUGUAAAUAUUGAACAGAAAGGGACCUAUUGGUAUGUGUCAAGGAAUCUGCCUCUGGGGUGACACCGUUCCAUUAAUCAGCGUUCUUUGACAUGGUUGUUAAAAGUUAGGUCCUACUAAUUGCUUUAAUUCAACUUGCAUGUCUUAUGUUACCUAUGAGACCAAGACUUGCUGCGUGACUUGCUGAAUACACUUUGCCAUCUUGCCAACUCAGCAGAGUACAGCGUGAAAGCGCAGACUUUCAAGCUAGCGUGCCUGGGUUUGAAUCUGGGCUCAACUAGGUACUGUUAGCUGUAGGUCCUUGGGCCAGUUACUUAACUUCUCUGUGCCUUAGUUUCCUUACUAGUAAAGACGACUGUGUAUCCCUCAUAGGGUUUCCGUGCGUAUGGAUGAGAUGUAGUAACGUGUAUCCCUAGAACGGUGCUGAGUCUGUAGUCAGUGCUGUCCAAGCGUUUGCUGUCAUCCUUGGCAUCAUCAUCACCAAACAGAUGCUGACCUGUCAUGACUUUUUGGUAUUGAACCUGCAUUGCUCCCCGAGAUCACUGUUCAU